UGAAAGAGGUACUUUGCAUUUCUAAAGACUA
rnacentral:piRNA from 1 species